ACCUUUUAGAUAUAAACCUUUUGAGUACACACAGAAAGAAAAGUAACUGCACUGGAGUGUUAAGACUGGGCUGGACCUCUUUCUUAAUGUCCAGUGUCCUUUGUCUUAAGAUUUGGUGCAGGCUGG
rnacentral:snoRNA from 1 species